ensembl:lncRNA
UUGUGAUAUAUGUAUUGUGAUAUAUGUAUUGUGAUAUAUGUAUUGUGAUAUAUGUAUUGUGAUAUAUGUAUUGUGAUAUAUGGAUUGUGAUAUAUGGAUUGUGAUAUAUGGAUUGUGAUAUACUGUAUUUAUUGCUGAUUUCACUUUGAGUUUUUGUUUUGAUCCAAAUUUCACCAGAUUGGGAUCCUGGAGUGGGAAUUCUGUGAGGGGUUUGGGUGCUAGUAGGGACAGUAACUGAAGGAGUAGUAGGGACAGUAACUGAAGGAGCUGUAGGGACAGUAACUGAAGGAGCUGUAGGGACAGUAACUGAAGGAGUAGUAGGGACUUGUUGGAUUCGACAGUUUGAACAUUGAGAUAUUAAAGACAUGACAGAUUAGACACAUAGUAUAUUAAGGAGUAAAAGAGACUGGGUCUCUGUAGAAAGACAGAUAGCGGUGGAAUGUGUUGGGGGACGAGAGGAGAGCAAAGUGUGAAAUAGGGGAGACAGAUGGACAUCUGUGGAUUAGGUGAAGGAGGGGUUGAGGUCAGGAGGUCAGGACAGGUCACCUGAAGGGAGUAAUAAAGGUUUGGUUUCCUGUUUCCAUUUUUUCUCUCUUCCUGUAGAACCAUAAAAUGAAAAGAUUGAAGAGAAGGAGGAGGGUCUUAAUAAGUGGGAUAUAAAUAUCUGGAAGGGACAAAUGUUGGGUUGUCUGAAUUACAGCUGUACAGAACCUCUGGGAAGAAUUAAACUUGGUUAAAGCUUCUCUAGUGUCCAUGGGUUAUUUACUCUGAAUAAUAAGAACCUAACAAUACAUACUGAGAUCAUUUCAGAUAAACUAAUUAACUUGGUAUUGGAAUCAUAUUUGAAUAGAAUCCAUUGGCAUCACAUUGCUAUUACAUUGGUAUCACAUUGGCAUUACAUUGGCAUUACAUUGGCAUUACAUUGGUAUUACAUUGGCAUUACAUUGGUAUCACAUUGGUAUUACAUUGGUAUUACAUUGGUAUUACAUUGGUAUUACAUUGGUAUCACAUUGGUAUCACAUUGGUAUUACAUUGGUAU